GCUGGCGUCCGGAAGGGAGUUCAUCCGUAGAAAAUCUGUCUCAACAAACUCCGUCUGAGCCAUGCAAUAAUGGGGGAAAUUGGACGUUAAAUCGAUGGUUUUCUGUGUGAGUAUACUUAACGGCGGACAUCUUCGGAGUUUCUGUAAACCAAAUUCCUCUCACACACAACCCAAUAUUACUGUGGUAAAAAGGCCCAAGGAACCAUAUAGUGUGUUCAAAACCGAAACUGCUUUUUGGGAAACGAAUUUCUUAACCCUCCGAUAAAAAAAAAAAAAAACAAUAUUAUUCUCGUUAUCGUAUCUUGUGUUUGAGUGUUAGGCUUUAAACAACCUUAACUACAGAACGAACUCAAGGACAAGCAAAAUCCUUAAAGUAAGGAAACAAUGCCGUAUAUAAAUAUCCAUGUAUGAAUCAAGAAUAAAAGUAAAGACUAUUCUAGAACGUGGAAACUCCGUGGAUCCGGUUUGUGAUAAUGGUUUCAAAUUUUGACACAAGGCUAACAAUUUCGGUGUCGAGGUUUCCAAAAGACCAACCGAUUGUUUCAAUGAAUUUCCAACAAUGAAAGUAACAAGGGCGGUACCGUAAAUAAUGUAGAACAAAAAUAACAAAGGAAUCUGUUCGCAAAGCCCAGGUUUUGCGAGGGCAUUAGUGAAAGCUACACACAGACGAUUCUACUGUUUCCACCAACCAAAUUUCACCCACAAAACAUCGUCGAUCGACCCCCAAGAAUUCACUUUUCCCCUAAAAUGCCGUCGAGUGCAAUCAAAUCGGAACUACAGUAAGUGCGAAGCUAUUUAACAACAAAACCAUAAAAAUUCAUCUCUUCUCACCACCACACCACCACCACUCUGCAACCACUUCAUUUUUCCUCAGCGGACACUAUUGAUCGAUCUAUUGAAAUACACUAAUCGAAAAUGGCAGAUUGAGCUUGCCUGUUGUAUAUAAUAAUCCAGAAACCUGAAAUACAAGAAGUUGGAAUAUAAAAAAAAAACAAAAAAAACUGAUUCAACCGCAAAACUUUCAUUUAUUUGAUAGAAACGGAAAUGCUCCAAUGUAACAGAUUCACGGUCGUUGGUAAAAACACUUCUAAACACGAACUAAUGAGAAAGUAUCCAGGUAGGUUUUAGUCUUCUGUUAUAAAUUCUGUUUACAUCUA